rnacentral:rRNA from 1 species
CCCCUUUGUGGUCGGUGUACAGGUGGUGCAUGGUUGUCGUCAGCUCGUGUCGUGAGAUGUUGGGUUAAGUCCCGCAACGAGCGCAACCCUUAUCCCUAGUUGCCAUCAGGUAAAGCUGGGAACUCUGGGGAGACUGCCGGUGAUAAACCGGAGAAGGCGGGGAUGACGUCAAGUCCUCAUGGCCCUUACAUCCCGGGCUACACACGUGCUACAAUGGCAGGUACAGAGGGCUGCGAAGCCGCGAGGUGGAGCGAAUCCCAGAAAACCUGUCUCAGUCCGGAUUGAAGUCUGCAACUCGACUUCAUGAAGGCGGAAUCGCUAGUAACCGCGAAUCAGCAGGUCCGCGGUCGAAUACGUUCCCGGGCCUU